CCUACGGGUGGCAGCAGUGAGGAAUAUUGGUCAAUGGCCGGAAGGCUGAACCAGCCAAGCCGCGUGAAGGACGAAGGUGCCAAGCAUUGUAAACUUCUUUUGUCAAGGGACAAAAUCAGGCUCGAGAGCCUGACCGAGGGUACUUGAAGAAAAAGCAUCGGCUAACUCCGUGCCAGCAGCCGCGGUAAUACGGAGGAUGCGAGCGUUAUCCGUAUUUAUUGGGUUUAAAGGGUGCGUAGGCGGGCUGUUAAGUCAGCGGUAAAAGCCCGGGGCUCAACCCCGGCGAGCCGUUGAAACUGGCUGUCGUGAGAUGUCGAGAGGUAUGCGGAAUGCGCAGUGUAGCGGUGAAAUGCUUAGAUAUUGCGCAGAACUCCGAUUGUGAAGGCAGCAUACCGGCGGCGAUCUGACGCUGAGGCACGAAAGCGUGGGUAUCGAACAGGAUUAGAUACCCUAGUAGUC
rnacentral:rRNA from 1 species